rnacentral:rRNA from 1 species
GACGAACGCUGGCGGCGUGCUUAACACAUGCAAGUCGAACGGAAAGGCCCUGCUUUUGUGGGGUGCUCGAGUGGCGAACGGGUGAGUAACACGUGAGUAACCUGCCCUUGACUUUGGGAUAACUUCAGGAAACUGGGGCUAAUACCGGAUAGGAGCUCCUGCUGCAUGGUGGGGGUUGGAAAGUUUCGGCGGUUGGGGAUGGACUCGCGGCUUAUCAGCUUGUUGGUGGGGUAGUGGCUUACCAAGGCUUUGACGGGUAGCCGGCCUGAGAGGGUGACCGGCCAAAUUGGGAAUGAGGUUCCGCCCAGACUCCUACGGGAGGCAGCAGGGGGGAAUAUUGCACAAUGGGCGGAAGCCUGAUGCAGCAACGCCGCGUGCGGGAUGACGGCCUUCGGGUUGUAAACCGCUUUCGCCUGUGACGAAGCGUGAGUGACGGUAAUGGGUAAAGAAGCACCGGCUAACUACGUG